GAAGGUCAUUCCCCGUCUGUCAUCCAGCUGCGCAAUUUAGCGAAAUCGCGGUAGGCGCAAAGGCGACGGAGUCGGUCGUAACGCCCUAGCCCUUUUCCACUUUGCGCUUGGAACCGAGUCCAUAACACAGCAGUGAUAAGCAGGCGGUCGGCCUCGGGAGGAACUCUCCCUCUGCAGUGGUGUGAUAGUGAAUGAUAUCCUGCAUCCCAACCCCCAGCAACCAUCCCUUCCUCAGAGUGCUACUGAUGAU
rnacentral:lncRNA from 1 species